CAGCAAUCCCUGAUCCGCUACCCUUCCUUCAUAUCUCGCCACCGGACGCUUUGGGCUCGCUGCUCCCAUGGCGUCCUCUUUCUUCGUUCGCACUCAAGUAUCGCCCAUGACUCCGCUGCUGCCGGACGCCUCCCAGAGGUCGGCGUCGAUGCCCACUAUGUCCGAGAUCAUGGACGCCUCCCGGACGCAGGGCCUCCGCCUCCGCCUCCAGUCGCUGGGGCCCUUCUUCCGCGUGCGGGCGGAGGCCGAGGGCGGGGCGGAGCUGGGGAGGGCAGAAGGUGUCGUCAGGCCGUGGGUCGGGGGCAAGGUGCUGCACCUGGACUCCAUGAGGCUCAGCCAGGACACGCUCCGCAUGGACCGCUCUAUCUUCGGCUUCGGCCUCUUCAUUGGUGCCGCCGCCGUCCGCCACGGCUUCGACCGAGGUUGCCGCCGGGCCGAGCUCCUCGCCAUAAACGACUCGCCUCUCUUUCAUUCCAAGCUUGUGAGGUUUUACACGAGGAUGGGAUUCAAGGCGGUGCACGAGGUAGAUGGAUCAUCGGUGGGCGAUUUGGCUCACAUGUUGGUGUGGGGAGGUAGAGGGACUAGAAUGGAUGCUGACAUAGAACAGCUUCUUAUUAAAUGGGGCAAAAGAUUUAAGUCCUAAAGGAGCAAUGCACAGUGCACUAUUAUCUGGCUUUGUCAAUCCAAUAUCAGCACUGCUCUUGGUUGACCAAGUAUUAAAACCAUCCUCUGCACCAAGCGCAAUAUUUUGGUUGCCUACAAUGCCAGAAAACUCGAGAAUCAGGGAUUGGUUCAGAGACAUCACUGAAGCAAAACUUGCAUGAUCAUGGAAAAAUUGCACCUCUGAUAGAAAAAAAAAAAAAAAAAAGUCUUGUCUAUUGGUUGCUUCAUCAGUAUUAAAUUAUGGCAGAAACUUUGCUAGCUUUCUAGAGUAAUAUUCAUGUUUCUUGAGAGAAGUGGCAUUCUUUCUAUUAAGAAAAUAUCAAAUAAGUAGUGGACAGUUACAGUGUCAUCAGUUGAUACUCUUCCAUUCAGCAUAAGAUAUAUUUACAAAAUGAAGUUCCUCAACUCCUGAACACAUUAGAUAACCCUGCAUGUAGAAAGCUAAUUUCAUUUUGUAUUUAUGCUCAAAACACAUUAGAACAGGUGUUGCUCCUCGGUUGACUAUAGUUUCAUUGUUGUACUAGAGGAAUCUACUUUAUGAAUGAUUCAAAUUGCAAGAUGGAAAGUAUCUCUUUGAUCAUUCCCUAAAUUGAUCGAUUACAUAUUUUCACAUAAUUGGGGUCCUGUGAGUGUCUCAUCAUAUUAUGCUCCUGUGCAUGCAAUCAAAGAGAUCAGGUGCAGAGAAAAUGGAGAAGGUAGGUGUGUUUCAUGGCACAUUGGAAAGUAAUGUGUAUGUGUGUCGUUGCUCUGAUCAUCACUUUCCUAUUCAUAAUUGUUCAGUUUCCUGUGGUUCCACAGACACCCCUUCAUUGACUUCAUUGAUGCCAUCAUUUUCUGUUUUGAUCUGCCAUAUUUCGGACGUGGGAUUUCAAUAAUGUUAAUAUUAAAGGAGAUAACAGAGCAAUAAAUGUAUUUGUUAUUUUCAAAGGUUUUUCCCCUAUAUCUUUGUGGCAAAAUUAACUGUCUUUAUGCCGUCAUUCACUUGAAGAUUUUAAACCAUUUUCUAAGCUACUCUUCCUGUUCAAAGGUAUAUUUGUGCUUGUGGACAGCUGUGGUAGAGUUGGAAGAUAUAUAUUUCUUUUGUUCAGAAUUAUGAGUCUGCAACUCUGUGUCAACUUAAUCAUCUACUAAUAUUUCUUUUAUUAUUAUAUGGUCAUCUGGACUUUGCCAAAUGCAUCAUGAUGAAGAUAAUCAUGACCGCAGAAAAGUUAGGGUUGAGUUUUCAUUAAAUCGACUCGUUACGUGGAGAGUCGCGAAAUAUAGGGAGGCAUAGUAAUUGUAUUGGUCAAAGACAAAGCAAAGACAAACUUAGAUGAGAUGAUAUAGUAGCUGAAAAGAAUGAACACUCAGUAACAUGACUGAAAUAAGAGAUGAAUCAUCUAUGGAGCUUUUAGUUAUAGAGAAACUUCAAAUAGUUAAUAUGUAUCACUAUAGCUUUGGUGUGAAUAGAGUAAACCUUUAGAGGCAAUCAAGAUUUGGAGAUAGAAGCCAAAAGUUCCUCUAGUGAGGAAAGUGGAAGGUUGUGGAUAGUCAUGCUGUGAGUGAAUGAUAUAUAUUUACAAACCUAUGAAGUCAUAGCAGAAAAACUAGAUGUACUUUUUCUGAUGCAGUAUGGUGUAGUUUUGUGAAGGCAUGUUUGUAAUCUCUGUCGUUUAAAGGAGCAAACAUUAUCACAUUUUAGAUAGAUUUCGAUGACUCCACCUUUUUCUUCUAGUAAAAGAAAAGGGACAGAACAAGAGAACCAGCAGAGCUAGUGAGUUCAUAGUCAUUGACAUGUCAUACGAGUGGGUAGUUGGUGUGCAACAAAAUUUUGCCAGAAAUCUAAAACUCAUAAUCUGUAAUCACUACAAAUCACAGAGUGCACAUUGCCAUUAGGAAACCCUUCUACUUGUCUAACAGCCAAUUGCUACCAUCUACAGCAUGCAACUAAAGAACACUGUAGGCAGUACUUCGUUCUACACUGAGCUCUUCUGGUCGUUGCCUCCUUGCUUUGAUGAAUCAUUAAAUGCGAGUUUAUGACUGAGCCCUUUUUUUCUCCUGUCCUCCUUGAGCUGGUUAAGUCUUAGCUUUUCAUUUACUUUUCCUGAGAACACAGACCAUUGGCUUGCAAAGUUUUGCGUGACUCCCCCUCUGAAGCAAUCUUUCUUUUAGAGCCAUAGGAUUCAUGCAUGUAACACUCAGGUCAAGCUACCCAUUCGAUUGUUCUCCGUUUCUGCUGCUGUUGUGCCUGUGUACCAAUAGUUCUAAGCAGCAAUGUUCCAGUCCUGCUUUGAAUGUGUUAUUAGGGGAUGAAACUAUAUAUAUCAGCGACACCUGUUUACAUACAAGGGGGGUGGAGAACAUCAUCACCCACAUGCUGCUCAGGUCAGUACACCUCGCAAGGAAAGGAAAAUUAACUGCAGGAGCAGGUGGUGGGCACUGAAGAAGUUCUCUGAGGUAGCCAUUCAAGUCCUCCUUGUGAGUCAACUUGACUCUUCUAUAUGCUACGAGUUGCAGUGAACCUUGGAUGCUUGUCAUACUCCUGCCAGUGAUAUAAAGUGGUGGAUGAUCCAUAUAUUAAACCAGUUUUAGCCAGUGACUGGAAUCUGAAGCUGGUGGCACGCCACAAAGCAGCAACAGGAAGCGCCGAGCAAUUCCAAACACAGUGCAGCCGCCUGGCACAGCUGCUGCAUCCGAUAGCACCAGAAGCCUCUCGUUGCUCUGAGACCAUCAGCUUCACCACUUCCAACACCAAGCAUAAGAAACAAGUAAAAGAAGGGGGCAAGCAUUCAUGGACGAGUGACAAGAGAUGGGAAACAAAAGGACAACUCGCAAUUCAUUCCUACAAAGUCACUCGAUGGCUUCUGUCCUCGGGGAUGUGCUGUCUUCCUCCGGACUUUUUUUACUGCACUCGGCCGGCCUUCCUUUCACUUUGAGCUACGUCUUUUACCCCCUUCUCUGCCCAGGUCCUCAAAGCCAUACUUCUAUGAAGCUAGCUAAUAAACCGUACUUUUGUUGCAGAACAUGUCAUGGUCCAUUAGCAUCCGAUUUCCACUCGGAUCAUUGCAACCUUCUUCUCUUGCUGCUUGUCGUCGCAAGAGAGACAGUGCUGCCGGUGCCGGUGUCGGUGGUGCUCUCACAGUUUGCAGGUGAUGUCCCGGAUGAAGCCAGAAACGUCGCUGCUCUCGCCUUCUCCUUGUGUGACUCGAGAACAAUGAGACUGUAGCAGGAGAACACAUACUCCUGUCCACACAAACAUGUUGGUGCAUUAACACAUGAGUCAACUUCUAUUUCCUAAGAAACCAAUAUAUGCAUAGCUUAUAGCUUCA